GAAUGGCCGAGACGGACGCCCCCCCAGAGCCUCUCGUUCCCCUCCUCCCUCUACAGUAAACUUCACAAAAUUUCUCCCCUCUGGCCCCUCUUCCCCUUCGAUUCCGGCGGUUUUCCGCCGGCGAGGGUUGGAGGAGGGGUCCGGCCACCUUCCCCUAGUAGUAUUUAGUCAGGUUUGUCCUGUUUCUUUAGCAGUCUUGUGUCCUAGGGUUCGGCCGGUGAUGUCUUCCAUGGUGGCGGCCGGUGUUGUGGUUCUCGAAGGCGGCGGUGGUUGGAGAUGGUGGCUUCGUGCCUCUUUGUUGCCGAAUCGAAGCUCCGGUGGUGUAAUCUUCCUCGCGCAAGGGUUCUCAAGGCUGGUGAAGUUUCCAGAUCUGGGUGGAGGUGGAGGAGUUGAUUCCGGCGAGACCGGAGUCCUCCUCUGCUGUGCUUGCGAAGCUGGUGCUUCUCGGUGGCUUCCCCUUCGGCUCCGGCAGCUACAGCAGCCGGCACGGCGCCUUCUCCGAGACUGCGGCCUUCGCCGGUGCGCGAUUCGUCUGGCAGGAGUCGCUUGUGUUCUUGGAGGUUGUGCUGGGGCUAGCACCGGCGCGUGCGCUGUUCUCGGUGGUGCGGCGGUCGGCGUCCCCCUUCGCCGUGCUCCCGAAGUCAGCUGCGCCCAUGCUUGUGCUGCCCUUGCCGACAGUCGACUGCUCCUAGCCGGCACCUUUGGGAUUCUUGUGUUUGGGUGUUUGCUCUGGCCAGACUUGUGUGAUUCCAUGUUGCAGGUCUCCUUCUCCUUAGCCAUCAUCGUCCUCUCAGCAAGACAGAAUCCUGUGGACAACUUCUCUAUUCCCUCAUUGCUGAAGGUUGGCUGGUCUACGAUUUGGCCCUCUCUUCUGUUCCCUAGCAGCAGAAACCGCGAUUGGUUUGUCAUUCGGGUUGAGCUCGAACCACCUGCGCAAUUUCGAUUGACAGGAUUCAAUGACGAACCUCGUGGGGAUUCUUUGUUGAGUCAGGUGACGCUUACACCAAUAUCUUCGGCUCAGCAAUCAACCUCGAUCUGGUGCCGUUCCCGUGUAGGCAACCGAAGGGGAUUAACGGUUUGUCAAGCGGUGUGCACUUCUCAUGAGGCCCAUGGUAGCAGUCGACGCGGUUUUAAGACGUUGUGGCUUUGCAGUAGUCACGACUCACCGCAGCUCCCUAUCGGCUUGCUCCUUUUUCUGCUGUUUGGUUUCAUCUGGAAGGCUGCUUCCGUAGUUUGGUUCACCCUCUCUUUUCAGGGUUGUCCCUUUUGCUUUCAAUUUCUAUCUUUGGUUGUGUACUGGGGUUUAUCCCCUAACUCUGUCCUUGCUUAAUAAAGUCAUU
rnacentral:lncRNA from 1 species